GAUGAACGCUGGCGGCGUGCCUAAUACAUGCAAGUCGAGCGAACUGAUUAGAAGCUUGCUUCUAUGACGUUAGCGGCGGACGGGUGAGUAACACGUGGGCAACCUGCCUGUAAGACUGGGAUAACUUCGGGAAACCGAAGCUAAUACCGGAUAGGAUCUUCUCCUCCAUGGGAGAUGAUUGAAAGAUGGUUUCGGCUAUCACUUACAGAUGGGCCGGCGGUGCAUUAGCUAGUUGGUGAGGUAACGGCUCACCAAGGCAACGAUGCAUAGCCGACCUGAGAGGGUGAUCGGCCACACUGGGACUGAGACACGGCCCAGACUCCUACGGGAGGCAGCAGUAGGGAAUCUUCCGCAACGGACGAAAGUCUGACGGAGCAACGCCGCGUGAGUGAUGAAGGCUUUCGGGUCGUAAAACUCUGUUGUUAGGGAAGAACAAGUACGAGAGUAACUGCUCGUACCUUGACGGUACCUAACCAGAAAGCCACGGCUAACUACGUGCCAGCAGCCGCAGUAACAC
rnacentral:rRNA from 1 species